rnacentral:rRNA from 1 species
GUUGGCGGCAGGUUCUAACACAUGCAAGUACGAGCGCGAAAUCCCUUCGGGGUGAGUAGAGCGGCGGACGGGUGAGUAAUGCUUGGGAAUCUGCCCAAUAGUGGGGGACAACGUGUGGAAACGCACGCUAAUACCGCAUACGUCCUACGGGAGAAAGCAGGGGAUCUUCGGACCUUGCGCUAUUGGAUGAGCCCAAGUCGGAUUAUCUAGUUGGUGGGGUAAUGGCUCACCAAGGCGACGAUCCGUAGCUGGUCUGAGAGGAUGAUCAGCCACACUGGGACUGAGACACGGCCCAGACUCCUACGGGAGGCAGCAGUGGGGAAUAUUGGACAAUGGGCGAAAGCCUGAUCCAGCCAUGCCGCGUGUGUGAAGAAGGCUCUAGGGUUGUAAAGCACUUUCAGUAGGGAGGAACGGUUGUUGAUUAAUACUCAACAAUUUUGACGUUACCUACAGAAGAAGCACCGGCAAACUCCGUGCCAGCAGCCGCGGUAAUACGGAGGGUGCGAGCGUUAAUCGGAAUUACUGGGCGUAAAGCGCGCGUAGGUGGUUUGAUAAGCUAGCUGUGAAAGCCCCGGGCUCAACCUGGGAACUGCAGUUAGAACUGU